AUAUUAGCCAAGCAGAAUGAAUAUAAAUGUUCUGCUCAUCCUUCAUGCACACUUUGGAAAUCGGAUGGGGUGGAAAAGCGCUGGAAAUUUCAAUGCUACAAAAAAGGGCAAAAGGAACCAGUACUAACAUGAAGCUCACACUAUCUGUUGUGUGAUACCAUGAUUACCAGAAUCCUUUGUCUCAGAGUCAAGGUUCUUUCAUCUCUUGCCAACAUCUAUGCAAGUGUUACAAGCAGACGUGUUAUCUUACAAGCAAGGAAAAAUUCCAAACUCUUCACAGUUCUUACUCAACAGUUGUACAAUCCUGAAUGAAUAGUGUAUGGAGGAGACCCAGUGCUGUACAUCUUAUAUAUGGUCUUUUGUACCUAAGUAGUUUACUGCUUUAUAAA